rnacentral:lncRNA from 1 species
CCUACAGUCCGUCUCUUCAUCUUGUCCUUACCACAGAAGGAGCAGGUGUACUUGGCAUGCUGGCUGACUUCAAUUUUCUUCACCAUUUUCCAGAGUGAGGCAUCAUGUGACUUUUGAAGGAAUAUAAGAGGGUCCUGAAGAGCCAAGGAAAGAGGUGUGUCAAGAUUCAUGGUUCCCUGUCCAGCGUCUUGUUCAACAUGGGCCACAC